CGUUGAAACACUGGUUCCCGUACGAUCGCCGAAAUUAAGCAACGUCGAGCCUGAUCAGUACCUAGGGUGACAGCUUGGGAAUGCUAGGUGCUAUA